GUUCGCCGGCUGGGAUCCGAUCCAUUGUCCUGGGUGGUGGGCAAAACACAGGAUCCGCUUCAGGAAAGUCGUAUUCCUGGUCGUAUUGAUGGACGGUUAUCCAUCAUCUCAAAGUGCCGAUCCAUUCCAGCCCAACUUCAGCCGGUGGAAAGGCCUUAGCCAGCGUGUGUGUGGGUACAACUUAUGAGCUGUCACUACAAAGUGCAGAGCCUUGCCGGAAACUGACAACCAGGGAAUGACUGACACUGACACUGCAGUGAGAAUGUGUUUUGGACUGGAUGGGCAUGGGGAGGCCUGGUACUUGAUGAAUAUAUGGAAGCAGGGCACCAGUUGUGCCAGAGCACCGGAUGUGCUGUAACUGUAAUCCCAGUUCACCCACUGGGCGGCCCAGUCAAGGACCAUGCCAAGCAGGAACAGGAUGCCACCAUGUUUCUCCUAUAAGACCACUCUUCCUGACAUCAGACUUCCUCCUGACUCCAGACAGAUGUUGGCCACAGCCUUUUAAGCUCAGUGUCUUAGAGCAUGUAGAGACCUUACCAUUCUAUACUGAAGUUUACAAUUAACUUUACACUACGGAAACCUAUAGGGUCAAGGUCAAAAAGGCACAGGAGGAAUUUAAAAUGAAGGGUGACAUAAAUUAAAGGGUGUCCUUAAAGAUGUGGAUGGGAAGUAGGUAGAUGUGUUCUAGGUCUGUGUGUUUUUCGUCUGCUGUAGUUUAGUGUUAAUAUGGAGGGUGAAGACAGAUGUAGCAGAUUUCAGUCUGAAAGCUAGCUUAGCUUCCGGCAUAGAAGUAAAUGUGGCUCAAAAGUGGUUAGGUUUCAUUGUUUAAAUGUUAAGGAUACUGUUGGUUGACUUCAGAAUGUAUAGUGCUUGUAUUGCACAUAAAUAGUAUUGGUACAUAGUACACAUUAACCUAUCAUGUAUAAAACGGCCAUGCUAGGCAUCUUACUAGUAUAGUUUUUACAUACAGCUCAUUAAUAAGUUAACUUCACAGAAACGAACUACCUGUUCCUAUUCAAUAUUACCUCUUCCACCUUGCCAUGAUACCAUAAUCACAACAGAAUAACUUACACCAAAAUCAAACAUUUAAACAUUGGUUAAAGUCUUAUCAGUUCAGUAUCUGUCCUUUCAGCAACUUUUACAGCCUCUCCCAGAUUUACAGUUGGGGUCAAAUCCCUUGUUAUUCCCAGUCUCAGUGGAUUUAUAGAGUUUUGGCC